CCUACGGGUGGCAGCAGUGAGGAAUAUUGGUCAAUGGACGAGAGUCUGAACCAGCCAAGUAGCGUGAAGGAUGACUGCCCUAUGGGUUGUAAACUUCUUUUAUAUGGGAAUAAAAUGUUCCACGUGUGGGAUUUUGUAUGUACCAUAUGCAUAAGGAUCGGCUAACUCCGUGCCAGCAGCCGCGGUAAUACGGAGGGACCGAGCGUUAUCCGGAUUUAUUGGGUUUAAAGGGAGCGUAGGUGGAUUGUUAAGUCAGUUGUGAAAGUGUGCGGCUCAACCGUAAGAUUGCAGUUGAAACUGGCAGUCUUGAGUACAGUAGAGGUGGGCGGAAUUCGUGGUGUAGCGGUGAAAUGCUUAGAUAUCACGAAGAACUCCGAUUGCGAAGGCAGUUCACUGGACUGCAACUGACACUGAGGCUCGAAAGUGUGGGUAUCAAACAGGAUUAGAUACCCUGGUAGUC
rnacentral:rRNA from 1 species